rnacentral:lncRNA from 1 species
CUCAUACUACUCUUAGGAUAAUUUAUAAACUAAUAUAUAUAUAUAUAUAUAUUAACCUGUUUUAGCACAAAACUUAUGAACAUCAAUAUUUUUCACAUAAGUUGGACAAUCUGCCUUUUGUCUUUUUCAUAUCUCAUAUAGAGUGCUCAUAACAGAUUUUGACGAUAUCUAACAUAUACAAUAAUUUUUAAAAUAUUUUUUUAAAUGAGAUAAUAAGAUUUGUGAAGUAUUUUAGAGAACACAUCAAAUCACAUAUGAAGUUUCAAUCUCU